rnacentral:rRNA from 1 species
GACGAACGCUGGCGGCGUGCUUAACACAUGCAAGUCGAGCGGUAAGGCCCUUCGGGGUACACGAGCGGCGAACGGGUGAGUAACACGUGGGUGACCUGCCCUCCACUCUGGGAUAAGCCUGGGAAACCGGGUCUAAUACCGGAUAGGACUCCUGGAUGCAUGUCUAGGGGUGGAAAGUUUUUCGGUGGGGGAUGGGCCCGCGGUCUAUCAGCUUGUUGGUGGGGUGAUGGCCUACCAAGGCGACGACGGAUAGCCGGCCUGAGAGGGUGAUCGGCCACACUGGGACUGAGACACGGCCCAGACUCCUACGGGAGGCUG